rfam:Zea mays cultivar B73 chromosome 3, whole genome shotgun sequence.
CGACAAUGAUUAUACAUUACCAGCGCUUUUGAUGUAUCCUAUGAAAGAAAGGGAAAAAUCAAUGAUUGAAUUUCCUAAUAUGAGCAG